CAUCGGGGUGAAUUGCCUUAGUUACGGCGAGUGAAGCGGCAAAAGCUCAAAUUUGAAAUCUGGCACCUUCGGUGUCCGAGUUGUAAUUUGAAGAAGGUAACUUUGGAGUUGGCUCUUGUCUAUGUUCCUUGGAACAGGACGUCACAGAGGGUGAGAAUCCCGUGCGAUGAGAUGCCCAAUUCUAUGUAAAGUGCUUUCGAAGAGUCGAGUUGUUUGGGAAUGCAGCUCUAAGUGGGUGGUAAAUUCCAUCUAAAGCUAAAUAUUGGCGAGAGACCGAUAGCGAACAAGUACAGUGAUGGAAAGAUGAAAAGAACUUUGAAAAGAGAGUGAAAAAGUACGUGAAAUUGUUGAAAGGGAAGGGCUUGAGAUCAGACUUGGUAUUUUGCGAUCCUUUCCUUCUUGGUUGGGUUCCUCGCAGCUUACUGGGCCAGCAUCGGUUUGGAUGGUAGGAUAAUGACUAAGGAAUGUGGCUCUACUUCGGUGGAGUGUUAUAGCCUUGGUUGAUACUGCCUGUCUAGACCGAGGACUGCGUCUUUUGACUAGGAUGUUGGCAUAAUGAUCUUAAGCCACCCCUCUUAAAAGGGGGAACCAAAAAAAAGAAAUGUUAGGGAGUAGAAUUAAUUUCCCCUCCUCUCCUUCCCUUUGGGGGGAUGUUUUUUCGGGUUAAGGGGA
rnacentral:rRNA from 1 species